rnacentral:rRNA from 1 species
UACGUAGGGUGCGAGCGUUAAUCGGAAUUACUGGGUGUAAAGCGUGCGCAGGCGGUGAUGUAAGACAGAUGUGAAAUCCCCGGGCUUAACCUGGGAACUGCAUUUGUGACUGCAUCGCUGGAGUGCGGCAGAGGGGGAUGGAAUUCCUGGUGUAGCAGUGAAAUGCGUAGAUAUCAGGAGGAAUACCGAUGGCGAAGGCAGGUCUCUGGGCUGACACUGACGCUCAUGCACGAAAGCGUGGGGAGCAAACAGG